GAAGUGGUGUGAGAGACUGACGUGAGGUGGCACGAGAGCCCAGUUGCCAAUGACGGAGCUGCGAGAUACGGCGAGAGCCAACGGGAGCGGAGUGAGAGGUUCUCCGACCAAUUGGGACUAAGUGAGAGGAGAUGCGGGCCAAUGGGUACUCCGCGUCCCACCGCUGGAGAGAUGGUCAAAUGUGGGAGGCGAGGUGGUCCCAGCUUGGGAGUCUGUCAGGUUGCCUAGCAACCAGAACUAGGCUUCACCUGAAAGAUUUCUGAAAUACUGUACUUGAUUUGAAUUCAGUCUUAACGUUUUCUAGCAAAGUGUGCGUAGAUUGCAAAUUGGAGCAGAAUACUUCACCCAGAACUUGUAUAUGUGUAAAUAGUCUAAAUACCCGAUUUGUAAAUACUCAAAUAUUGUCUCCUUUAUUCAAAACUACCUUGACUUAAAGAAAACAGAACAAACAAAAGUGCUCUUGAGACAAAGCUUUCUAACUAAACCUAAAACAAAAUGGUUUCAGGAUUAGGCAUCCGUGGGGAGGGUGCAGAGCCUUGCCUGUGAAGGGAAGUUGAUACUGAAUUCAAGGAUUUUUGCCAGGCCAUGCACUCUGAGGAAAGGGACUCCAUUUGGCCUGUUGCCCACUGUAUCUUCUAAGCUUCAUAUGUGGUACCUGCCAAGUAAAAGGCUGUGGAAAGGCCACGUAAUUGUCGGCAUAGUAAAUCCAUCGGAUACGGACUGCCUAACUCCCCCAGCAAAUAGAGAGGAGCAAUUCAAGCUAGAGGAAUUCACUGAAACACUAUUUGGGGGAAUCCAAAGGAGGACACUUGUGGCUUUGCAAUAAACUCUGCCUCUAUCUGGUCAGAGAGAGAAGCCAUAAUACUUAGCUUUGGUGGGGGACCAUGAGUGAGGUUCGGAGUUGUUUGUAUCUCUCCCCAUCUCAAUUUAAUUAACAGGAAUGCUAUUGAUAAGGGGUCAUUGGUAAUUCUGUGAUUCACACAAUUAUUGUUAUGGGAGAUUCUUUUAACCACUAUAGAUGCUAACCUAGUAAGACACAUUCUCAGCAGCAAAGUGGCAAAAUAUAUUGGAAAUGGAACCACUGUGAAGUGGUGGCAUAAAUGACUUGGGGGAAGAGGACCACUCAGUAAUGAUUUCCAUUCCACAGUAUUGCCCAUGACUCACUUCAUAUGUAUGUAAAGUAACUAGAUAGUAAACAGAGAGAGAGACAUUGCCUGAUUAUGAUCAACAGCAAUUUGGGGUGGGGUAGGAGAUUAAAAUUCUUGGCAUAUUGGAAUAUGCUGAAAGGCAGUAAGGACAAACACAAGAAAGAAGAUACAGUUUUGUCGUUAGGAAUCGCAAAUAAUUCCAACUCCAGGAGUACAUAAUGGGAAAUGAUUAGCCAGACGGUCAUGAGAAUGACCAUCUUACACAACCGGAAAUUUCUACAAGGAACAGACCGUCUUUUUGAUCACGUUAAUCUUCAAUUAAGCAAAGUGAGCAUGAUUAUUGAUUACUGGGAAGCCAAGCAAUGGAGAACAAAAAGGCAAGGCAAGGUACUUCUAUAGAAGGGUGCACCCUUACAGAUGGAGCAAUGGUGAGUGCACACUUGGACGAGGGAGGGAAAGGGGUUCUUAUUCCUGACGCACGUGGUCCCCACUGCUGUGUCGUUCCCUUAUUGGCUAGGGUUAGACUGCACAGGCUAAACUAAUUCCGAUGGACUAAUUUAAAGACAGUGAUGGCGGGAAAAAUGGUUAUGAAAUGAGUCAGGGUGAAGAAUGAAUUGGAAUGAGUCAAGGUGGAGUACGUAAUCAGAAUGAGUCAAGGUGGAGAAUGAGUCAGGUUGGAGUAGGUAAUCAGAAAAGGUUGCUUUACUAGGAAGCUACGUUUAAAAGUAGAAGGCAAAGAAUGGAACAUACUGACAUAUUAAUUCUUUGAAGAGAAAUUUAGAAUUCAUAUUUAACAACUUCCUCCUCUUGCAUUUUUCUUACAGCUUUCUCUUCAAACUUAUUUAACAUGUCUUGAUUUAGUUGUUCUGCUUGAUUUUCCAAAAGAAGAAGCUUUUCUGGAUGAGGUGGAGGAUAGUUAAGGGAGGUUUUAGUAAGUACCGUUUCUAUGAGCCUCUGCACCAACCCACAGAUGCAUGGUAUGACACAGCACCUGACAAGAAUAAGUACACCUAUUAUGACUAUGAGGGAG
rnacentral:lncRNA from 1 species